rnacentral:lncRNA from 1 species
CCUCGCAUUCGGAGGAGCGCAGCGCAGUGCCCACAAUGCCGCCCUUCACCCUGAGACCCGACCUGGCGAACUUCAACCCGGAGGUCCCCAAACUGGAGAAGAGCAUCAGCGGCACCAACCCCACCCGCGACCGUCUGCCCAUGGCUGCCAGCACCGCCCUGCUGCUGCUCCUGGCGCUGCUGCCCUCAUAGCCCCCCCACGGGGACCCCCAAAGACCCCCACCCCAUAAAGGACCCCCCCACCCUAUAGGGGACCCCCCAACCCCAUAGGGGAACCCAACCCCAUAGGGGUGCCUUGAGUGGGACUCAUCUGCUGUGGGGGGGAAAGGGGGGCAGCCCUGCUGCUGCUCCUGGCGCUGCUGCCCUCAUAGCCCCCACGGGGACCCCCACCCCAUAGGAGACCCCCACCCCAUAAGGGACCCCCCCCACCCUAUAGGGGACCCCCAUCCCCCC